rnacentral:lncRNA from 1 species
CCUCCGGGUUGGUACGGUAGGCUGGUCGGUUCGGUAGCGUUGAGCGCGGGCAUGAAGUCAAUCUGAUGUUCAAUCCCCCUAAGUGGUGGUAAACCAUGCGGUGUCUUAUCGGGGAAGAAUUGCUAUUCCUGCAAAAUCGAGUGAAUAGGAGGGGGUAGGGAAGAGAGAUCGUUAGCAAUAAACAGGUUCUCGCGGAACCGCAGCAACA